AAGAUAGUACAGUAAUGGAAAUAUUUGUCAAAAAGUGGUAAAGAAUUAGUGGAUUUAAGUACCUUUUGUAUCAGGGUUUUUUAAUGUUAAAGUUUAGUUGGUUCUCGAAAUUAUUUGAUUUUGGAUGAUUGAAAAUUUUUGUAGUAAAGAAAAUGUAAGAUCAUGUAGGUAGUGAAAUGUUGUCGAAAAUAAUGAUAUCUGGUUCAUGAAAGAGUGAUUUAAAAUCUUGUUUUGUAAAAAUAAAAUGUAAAUGGGUAAGCUAUUUAUUAUUUAAUAAGAGUUAAUUUGGUUCUUGUAGUUAGGCUUUUAAUUAGUCAUAUUUUAAGGUUGUUAUAAAUUAAUUGUGGUAAGUUAGUGAUUUUUUAAAAAUUAAUUUUUGAAAUUGGUGGUGUAUGGUAGUUAAUAAUAUAAUGAUAAAAUAAGUAUUUUUGUGUGUUGUUUUGUAUGAACUCGGUAUUUUUCUUUGAAUGUUUAACAAAAACAUUUCUUUUAGAGAAAUUAAAAGUAGGGCCUGCCCAGUGAGAUUUUUAAACGGCUGCGGUAUUCUGACCGUGCUAAGGUAGCAUAAUCACUUGUGUUUUAAAUGGAUACUGGAAUGAAAGGUUUAACAUGGAAAAUCUUUGUUGAAGGUAAAAAAUAAUUUGUGUUUUAAGUAAGAACACUUAAAUGGGAUAAAGGGACGAUAAGACCCUAAAAGCUUUAAUUGAAAUUUAGAUUGUAGAAGAUAUUAUAUUGAUCAUGGAGUUUAAUAGGAAUAUUAACUGGGGAAGUUUAUUUUAUAAAAUAAAGUUUGAUAAUAGCAAAGAUUUUUGGUUUUUAGGUCCUUUAUAUGAGGAUAUUAGGAGUAGUUACUUUAGGGAUAACAGCGUAAUAAUUUUGGAGAGAUCAUAUCUAUAAAAUUGAUUGCGACCUCGAUGUUGAAUUAGAAUAUUUUUACGAGGUAGGAGGUGUAAGAAAAGGUUUGUUCAACCUUUAAAUUUCUACAUGAUUUGAGUUCAAACCGGUUUAAGCCAGGUUGGUUUCUAUCUUUUAUAGGGUUAAGAAACUAUUUUAGUACGAAAGGAUUAAGUAGUUUUAAUAAUU
rnacentral:rRNA from 1 species